UACGUAGGGUGCGAGCGUUAAUCGGAAUUACUGGGCGUAAAGCGUGCGCAGGCGGUUUUGUAAGCCAGAUGUGAAAUCCCCGGGCUUAACCUGGGAAUGGCAUUUGGGACUGCAAGGCUUGAGUGCGGCAGAGGAGACUGGAAUUCCUGGUGUAGCAGUGAAAUGCGUAGAUAUCAGGAGGAACACCGACGGCGAAGGCAGGUCUCUGGGCUGACACUGACGCUCAUGCACGAAAGCGUGGGGAGCAAACAGG
rnacentral:rRNA from 1 species